rnacentral:lncRNA from 1 species
AACGAGACAUGUGCAAACCAGUUGAGAACACAAAAAGGAGAGAGGUUGCAAGGCAAUUGGAGUUGGAAGAGGCGAUCAGAAAGAGAGAACUCAGACUUAAAAAGGAAGAGAAGGAGAAGUCCACAAAGAAAGGUAACUCUGUCAUGCAUUAAUUAAAGCUUUUUUUAAGAGUCAGAGUCUGUACCAGGACUUGUGUCAUGUUUGUCCAACACCUCAUGUCUUUAUUUCUGUCCUCUUUUCAUCAUAUUAUCAGAUUCUCAACAUGUAGAUGCGGGGGUACCUGCACCUGCACCAGGUAAAUGUGUCUUCUUCAUGAUACCGUUCAGAUAGCACUGUCUCAUCUCAGGACACAUUGCAAUACGAGGGAACAUCCAGUAGACAAGAAUCAAUCCACAUUUUGAGUAUGUUGUCUUUCUAUCAUGUACAUUGAAACACUAUUUCAAGCCACAGAUUAUUCAAUACAUUGACAUUUCAUAGCAUGCAUGUUCUGUAUGAAUGUGUGAUGUUGUAUGUUGUAGUUCCCACCUGUCAACCCACACCAGUCUACUGGCCAUCAUCACCUCCUGGCUGGUAUCUGCAUCACAUAUUCACAGACAAUCCAUUCCCACCUACAACUAUGACAGCUCAUCCAACUCAGUCAUUUUAUCAAGCUCCUCCAGCGUAUCAAGUUUAUCAAGCUCCUCCAGCUCAACCAGCAGCUCUAGUUCAACCAGCAGAACCAGCACCUGCACCAGCUACUCAACCAGCUGAACCAGCACCUGCACCAGCUACUCAACCAGCUGAACCAGCACCUGCACCAGCUACUCAACCAGCUGAACCAGCACCUGCACCAGCUGAACCAGCAACUCAACCAACUGAACCAGCACCAGCACCUGGACUUGCACCGACAACUCAACCAGCUUCAUGGACUCAAGAACCACAGGCUCCCAAAGAAAAGCAGAAGGCUGGCACCAUAAAGAAGGGUAUGGACAUAUUGUAUUGA